CAUGAUUCGGACUUGGUUUUGUGUACCUGGGAAUAAUGCCGCACGGAGGAGGAAACGGGAUUCAAGAACCAGGAAUCAGUAAGAUACGAUAAAUUUCGUUUUCUCUGUUGAGAAAACGCGCAUUCCCAUAAAGAGUAAUAGGGAGAGAUAGAGAGAAUAAAGACAACGAAAAGAGCGAAAAAAGCCUCAAAAAACAAUAUCACACCGACCUUACAUCUAUGAAUAAGAAGGAAAGAGGAGAGAGAGAGAGAGAGAGCAUCGCAUCCUGCGCAUCCUCUCUAAUCCAAUUCAGCACGAUGCGUGAAUCCAUGAAUAUAUAAAUAAAUAGGAACCCGAAGUAUCCGUAAGUUAUCACAUGUUUAAGUACAAUGUUGGAGAGAGAGAGAGAGAUGGUCCAUGUUGGCCAUGUUCGAACGAUGACGUCACCAUUGAAGAAAACUUGUACCCUAUAAUGCCGAUGCCUACAUAUACACACGCGCACGGAGCAGGCUGAGAGCUAUUACAGAAUUCUUCGAGGAGAAAAGGAAGCAGAAGAAGAAGGAGAAGAAAAAGAAGAAGAAUAAGAUGAAGGAGGAACGCUCAAUGAGUAAUCAGGAAGCUUGCGAAACGAGUUCGGGAUUGUAAAAUUCAGAAACGUGCUUCACUGCUGUAGGAGAAGAACUGCAACAAGAGAAAAGAGAAAAGAAAAAAGAGAACCAGAUGACGCCAAUCGAGAUUAAUGAUCGGAUAAGACUCGGCGCACUACGGAAUAAUGGAAGUGCGGAUGAUCGUGCAGCUCGAAGGUGAUAGAAAUAAUAGAUUGUCAACAAACGGCGCAACGAAAGGGAAAAAAUGAAAUAAAGAAACGAGCAAACUGAAAAUGAAGAGAGAAAAUAAGUAGAACAACAUCCGGGGCAAAUAUCCCGGACCGCGACGACAACGAUUUAAAGAAGACGAAGAAGCGGCGCCACGAUCAGGAGUUUAGGCUACCGAGUAGCGUACUUGAAUCGAGGCAAAGAGGAAAUCGAGAGAAGAAACGAGGAACGCGUGACUAGCUGCAUAUCACGUGGUGAAAGAUUAGAUCAGGAUUUCAGGUUCGUCGUUAUUUGCUCGUUUCGUAAUUUGCAGCGGUUUAUAUUCACAAAAUAGAAAAAGAAUAAAUUUCGGCUUCUUUAAGCUAGCUAUUUCUUUUUCUUUCUCUUUUCUUACUCCUAUAUUAUACGAUACGAUGAGAUGUAAAAAUAACUUAUGUAAAAUUUUCGGGCGAAUUUUACUUUCUAGGUCUAUAAAAUUUACGCCUGAUUUUUAUUUGUAAUAGAUGUUUUUGUUCUUUCAUUCGAUUGAUGCUAAUCGCAUUGUUAUAGUUAAGUUACAGCGGUGAUUGUUAGGUUGCCAAGUUUCAGGCGUGUAUCGCAUACACUUAUACUUGUAACGAUAAAUUGAGAGAAUUUCUCCUUACAUGUGGAUCAAACACUCGUGUAAUAUCGUACAGAAACCAUAUGUACUUAUGUAAUGAUUCCUAAUCGAUUUCUCCGAAUAAUUAAUCAAAUUCUAAUCUCUGCUUCCCGUCUCCUGGUAUUAUAUAACUUUUUAUUUAUAUUAUAGAAAUACUAAAAAACGAAGCUCGAGCCUCUCAUGUCGCACAAUAUAUACAUCAAGCAUUGAAAGACGGAAGCUACUGGACACGAGUGCGUUUAAUAAUUUCUGUAACACAGGAUCAGAAUCGGGACGAGAAAGGAGCGCGAGGUACUCGAAUAAGAAGAAGAAGCUAUAGAAGGAGGAUAAAUAUCCGAAACUAGUUUCGUCGGUAAUUUAUACAAUAGAAGAUUAACGAUGGUAUACCUAUGUAUAUGUAUACAUAUUACGUAUAGUAAUAUAAGGCAGGCGAUGGCCGUCUUAGAAGAUUACACCUUACGGUCGAGAAGACGAGGAGACGAGGAGAAGAGAGGAGAGGAAAACUGGACCGCGCCGAAGGCAAGGAGGAGCUGAUCCUCGACUCGCCGGGGAUCUUAUUUACUGCCUGGGCAAUAACCGUGUUUCUCGUGUCGGCACAACGGCUCUGCUUCUGCUUCUGAGCUGCUGCAGGGUGGAUGCGGAACGACUACCGGGCUACGCGAGCUGCGGUACAGCCGCGGACAAAAAUCAUAUUCGGGGGAAGAAGACGCACGUAAGCUUCGUACGAUAUACGUAUACCUAGGCUAAAAAAUGAGAUUGAAGUUGGUCGAGAUAACGUGACACAAUGUAUUUUCAGGAAAAAUAGUUGUUGUAAUAAACCGUAAUUAAACAAAAUUAAUCUCGGAAUAAACUUAACAUCUUAAAAGCCAUUGUCAAAUUUCUAAUUAAUGAUUUUUUUGCAAUAUUUCGUUACUUUAACGUUAUUUAACUUCAAUCCCGUGGUGAAAACGGAGAAUCGAAACUGCGUGAAAGUCGAGGUGCUAUUUGCACUUACAGAUUUAGUGACUCGCGAUUACAAAAGAUUUUUAUGAUUUCACGUAAUUUUAGGAAUCAAUUUCAACACUCC